rnacentral:rRNA from 1 species
GACGAACGCUGGCGGCGUGCUUAACACAUGCAAGUCGAACGCUGAAGCUCAGCUUUUGUUGGGUGGAUGAGUGGCGAACGGGUGAGUAACACGUGAGUAACCUGCCCCCUUCUUUGGGAUAACGCCCGGAAACGGGUGCUAAUACUGGAUAUUCACUGGUCUUCGCAUGGGGGUUGGUGGAAAGGGUUUUUCUGGUGGGGGAUGGGCUCGCGGCCUAUCAGCUUGUUGGUGGGGUGAUGGCCUACCAAGGCUUUGACGGGUAGCCGGCCUGAGAGGGUGACCGGUCACAUUGGGACUGAGAUACGGCCCAGACUCCUACGGGAGGCAGAAGUGGGGAAUAUUGCACAAUGGGCGAAAGCCUGAUGCAGCGACGCCGCGUGAGGGAUGGAGGCCUUCGGGUUGUGAACCUCUUUCGCUCAUGGUCAAGCCGCAACAAUGGUUGUGGUGAGGGUAGUGGGUAAAGAAGCGCCGGCUAACUACGUG